CUCCUCUCUCUCUCUCUCUCUCUCUCUAAUAUAUAUUUGAGAGAGAGAGAGAGAGAGAGAGGGGAG